AGGUAAUAAAAUAAUUAAAACCUAUUUAUAAUGGCGGCAUUUAUUCUAUUUAGAGGAACUUGUCAUUUAAUCGAUAAUCCCCGAUAAAUUUCACUUUAUUUUAAAAUUUAUAUACCGCCAUCAAUAAGAAUUUUUUUUUAAAUUAAUUCAAAAUAAACUCUAAAAUGUUAGGUCAAGGUAUAAUCUAUAAUAAAGUCUUAGAUGAGUUACAUUAAAAAAUAUUUAAGAAAUAUUUUAUUAAAUUAAAUAAGAAAAAGGAUUUAUUAGUAAAUUUAAUUUUAAUAAUAAUUUAAAAUGAACUAGAUAAAAAAUGUGC
rnacentral:rRNA from 1 species